rnacentral:rRNA from 1 species
GAUGAACGCUAGCGGCAGGCCUAAUACAUGCAAGUCGGACGGGAUCCAUCGGUAUCUUGCUAUCCAUGGUGAGAGUGGCGCACGGGUGCGUAACGCGUUAGCAACCUGCCUCCAUCAGGGGGAUAGCCUCCCGAAAGAGUGAUCAACACCGCAUAACAUAUCAGACCGGCAUCGGUCGGAUAUCAAAUAUUUAUAGGAUGGUGAUGGGCUUGCGUGCCAUUAGCUCGUUGGUGGGGUAACGGCCCACCCAGGCGACGAUGUCCAGGGGAACUGGGCGGACAAUCCCCCAUACUGGUACUGGGACACCGACCAUACUACUACGGGACGCAGCAGUAAGGAAUAGUAGGCAGUGGGCGGAAGCAUGAGACAGCCAGGCCGAGUGCAAGACAGCUGCCCUAUGGGUUGUAAGCUGCUUUUAGCGGGGAAAAGCCCUUCUUACGUGUAGGAAGCUGAAUGUACCGGAAGAAUAAGGAUCGGCUAACUCCGUG